rnacentral:rRNA from 1 species
GAUGAACGCUGGCGGCGUGCCUAACACAUGCAAGUCGAGCGAACGGACGCGACUUGCUCUUUUCUGUUGUUAGCGGCGGACGGGUGAGUAACACGUGGACAACCCACCUCUAUGACUUGGAUAACUUCGGGUAACCGUAGUUAAUACCGGAUAAUUUUUUCAACCGCAUGGUUCAAAAGUGAUAGAUGGUCUUUCUGUCACUUAUAGAUGGAUCCGCGCUGCAUUAGCUAGUUGGUACGGUAACGACUUAACAAGUCAGCGAUGCAUAGCCGACGUGAGAGGGUGGUCGGCCACACGAGAGCGGGAACGGGGACCAUGCUACUGCGAGAGGCAGCAGUAGGGUAUCUGACGCAGUGGGCGAGAGCCUGACAGAGCAGCGCCGCGUGAGAGGUAAAGGUCUUCGGAUCGUAAUACUCUGUUAUUGGGGAAGAACAUAUGUGUGUGGGGAUGAAGACAAAGUGACGGUACCUGAUCAGAAAGCAACGGCUAACUACGUG